rnacentral:rRNA from 1 species
GUGCCAGCAGCCGCGGUAAUACGUAGGGUGCAAGCGUUAAUCGGAAUUACUGGGCGUAAAGCGUGCGCAGGCGGCUUUGCAAGACAGAUGUGAAAUCCCCGGGCUCAACCUGGGAACUGCAUUUGUGACUGCAAGGCUGGAGUGCGGCAGAGGGGGAUGGAAUUCCGCGUGUAGCAGUGAAAUGCGUAGAUAUGCGGAGGAACACCCAAUGGCGAAGGCAAUCCCCUGGGCCUGCACUGACGCUCAUGCACGAAAGCGUGGGGAGCAAACAGGAUUAGAUACCCUGGUAGUCC